rnacentral:rRNA from 1 species
CCUACGGGUGGCUGCAGUAAGGAAUAUUGGUCAAUGGGCGGGAGCCUGAACCAGCCAUGCCGCGUGCAGGAAGACGGCCUUAUGGGUUGUAAACUGCUUUUAUCGGGGAAUAAAACUUUCUACGCGUAGAGAGCUGAAGGUACCCGAAGAAUAAGCAUCGGCUAACUCCGUGCCAGCAGCCGCGGUAAUACGGAGGAUGCAAGCGUUAUCGGGAUUCAUGGGGUUUAAGGGGUGCGCGGAAGUCAGGGUUGAAAUGCUAGUGCUUAACAUUAGACCUGCCAUUGAUACUGUCAGUCUAGAGUAUAGUUGGAGUGGGCGGAAUGUGUCAUGUAGCGGUGAAAUGCUUAGAUAUGACACAGAACACCGAUCGCGAAGGCAGCUCACUAAGCUAAAACUGACGCUCAUGCACGAAAGCGUGGGGAUCAAACAGGAUUAGAUACCCGAGUAGUC